rnacentral:rRNA from 1 species
UACGGGGGGGGCAAGCGUUGUUCGGAAUUACUGGGCGUAAAGGGCUCGUAGGUGGCCAACUAAGUCAGACGUGAAAUCCCUCAGCUUAACUGGGGAACUGCGUCUGAUACUGGAUGGCUUGAGUUUGGGAGAGGGAUGUGGAAUUCCAGGUGUAGCGGUGAAAUGCGUAGAUAUCUGGAGGAACACCGGUGGCGAAGGCGGCAUCCUGGACCAACACUGACACUGAGGAGCGAAAGCCAGGGGAGCAAACGGG